rnacentral:rRNA from 1 species
GAUGAACGCUGGCGGCGUGCCUAACACAUGCAAGUCGAGCGAACGGACGAGAAGCUUGCUUCUCUGAUGUUAGCGGCGGACGGGUGAGUAACACGUGGAUAACCUACCUAUAAGACUGGGAUAACUUCGGGAAACCGGAGCUAACACCGGAUGAUAUUUUGAACCGCAUGGUUCAAAAGUGAAAGACGGUCUUGCUGUCACUAAUAGAUGGAUCCGCGCUGCAUUAGCUAGUUGGUAAGGUAACGGCUUACCAAGGCAACGAUGCAUAGCCGACCUGAGAGGGUGAUAGGCGACACUGGAACUGAGACACGGUCCAGACUCCUACGGGAGGCAGCAGUAGGGAAUCUGCCGCAAUGGGCGAAAGCCUGACGGAGCAACGCCGCGUGAGUGAUGAAGGUCUUCGGAUCGUAAAACUCUGUUAUUAGGGAAGAACAGAUGUGUAAGUAGCUGUGCACAUCUUGACGGUACCUAAUCAGAAAGCAACGGCUAACUACGUG